rnacentral:lncRNA from 1 species
AAAAGAAAAUAGAGUGAGGGGGGGGGGGGAGGGGGGUAGAGAUCCACAGCAGAGGAGUCCCCUUUCUCCCUCCCUCCCUCCCUCCCUCAAUCCCUCUAUCUCCUCCCAUCCCGGCAGUGGCCUGGCACACCCACCCCUCCCCUAAGCCAGCAGCAUAAAGGGCUGGCGUGUGCCUCGAGGGCAGCGGGUCACAUGGCUCCACCUCCUCGCCCGGGGAUCCCGGGGGACCUCACUUUGUUCAGGAUGCUGCCGAGCGUACCCAUUGUGGAGGCACAGCCCUCUGCUGCCUCCGGGCUAGGGCUCUGAGAGGAAGAGGAGGAGGAGGACAAGGACGCAGGCAGACGCCGCCGGCCGCACUUGGGCUCAGGGGCUGGGACUGGCGGCCAGGGGGAGCCCCAGAACAAACUUUGUGAGGCGCGAGGGUACAUCCCGGAGGCAGCUCUGAAAGGGAAUUAGGUCCAAAAGUGGAAGAUGGGCAGCUCCCACCGGCAUGCGUAAGCGGACUUGGAGUACAGACCCGAACGGGUCUUCUUCAAAAACCAGUCUCCUGCAUGAGUCCUCCCUCGACACCUUCUUCCUAGCCCUCAGCCCCAGGAAAGUAUUCUCUCCCCUUUCAGAUGCUCCUGAAACAUUUCCUCUGAAUUUCACAUUUGCAUAGGUUUCAGGAUGGAAGGGAGUCCAGAAGCUAUCCUAGUCUCACCCUCUCAUUCUACACAUAAGGAAGUAAAAUGAGCUACCUAAGGGCACACAGGGUGCAAGUGUCACUCACCAGAUUUAAGUGCAAGUCUUCUGACUUGGGAGAAUCAUUGUGUUCUUUCUAUCGAACCACAGCCUAUCUAGUCUUCUGGGUACCAUUGUUCUUUCUCCUUCCCUAGUGGUUCCUUAGGAUCUGUUUGGUUGAAUUUUCUAGUGUAGAUUGGAGCUUGUAAAGGGUAGAGAAAGCCUGUGAUAGUUCAUCAGUGUUGUAGGCAUCUAAGUGGCACAGUGGAUAGAGGCUGGGGCACAGACACAGCAAGAUCUGAGUUCAAAUGUGACUUCAUAUAUUUACUAGCUGUGAGACCCUGGGCAAGUCCUUUAACUUGUUUGCUUUCAGUUUCAUCUAUAAAAUGGUGAUCAUACUAGCAUCCAAAGAAAGAAAAAAAUAAUAGCACCCACCUACCUGGGUUGUUAUGAGAAUCAAAUGAGAUUAUAUUUGUAAAGUACAAUACAAAUGCUAGCUGUUAUUAUUAUUAAUGGCUAUAAUAGCUAACAUUUUUAUAGCACUUACCAUGCACCAGGCAUUGUGCUAAGCACUUUACAAAUAUUAUCUCAUUUGAUCCUCAGAGCAACCUGGGAGGGUUUUAUUUAUUUAUUACUCUCCUUUCAUAGUUGAGGAAACUGAGGCAGAUGGUGAUUAAAUGACUUGUCGGGUGUCAGACACUCAGCUACUAA